AAAUACCAAAUACCAAAUCCCUAAUAAUACAAAUAACAAUAAUUCAAAUUCAAAUUAUAAAGCAACGUAAUUUCUUUAAUUCUCUUCAUUUGUCUUUGUCACCUUGAAAACAAAAAUCCUACACCAAAAAGUAAAUAAAAUGUUAUUAACACGCUGCAAUAUUGAUAAUAGUCAUUGUAAAAUUUCAAAAUAUCAAACAUAUAGCAAAUUUGCAGUAUUUUUAAGGAAAUAAUAAUUAAACAAGAUAAAAAAAUUUACCUAUCACACUCACACACUGUCAUUUGGGUCAUUGGCACCCUCUGCAGAUGGAGCACAAUUAGUGCUCCUAUUCAUAAUUAUUUUUUAAAAUUUUUAAUAGUGAAGAAUAUGAGUAAGAAAUGAAAAAGCUAGCAAAUAUAUUAAUUGAAGAAUAAAAGAUCAUAUAUAUAAAUAAAUAUGUAUAUAUAUUAAAAUUAAUUAAUUAAUUAAUUAUAUUUUAAAAAACUUUUUAACAGUGAUAUAAUUGAAGAAUAUGAUAUAAGAAAGAAAUGAGAAAGCCAGCACUGAUGGUUACAAUUGAAUUAGUACCCGGCCUGUGUUUGUAUUUUUUAAAGAUUAUGCAACUCUAAAAUUAGUAAUCAUGUAUGGUUUACAAGAUAUAUUUCAUUUAUUAUUUUUAUUUUUCUCAUUCCCUAAUCAAUGGAUUCUCAAAAGACAAACCCAAAUCAGGAUGAAUAAAAGACAAACCCAGGCCAAUAUGUAGCACUUGCUGGAUGCGAAAAUUUAAAAAAAAAAAGAUUUGGAGCUUACUGUGUAGGUGUGAUUAAUGCGAGAUGGUGACUGCCGUCAGUUGAGAAAUUUUGAAGAAAUUAUUGAGAUGGUUGUCGGUGAUUUACUCACGGCUAGUUGCUAAGAGAUGGAAAUGAAGGGAAAGAGAUGGCAAAACGUAGCAGUGACUGGUGAUUUACUCACGGCUGAGUUGCUAAGAGAUGAG
rnacentral:lncRNA from 1 species